AGUGAACGCUGGCGGUAGGCCUAACACAUGCAAGUCGAACGGCAGCACAGUAAGAGCUUGCUCUUACGGGUGGCGAGUGGCGGACGGGUGAGGAAUACAUCGGAAUCUACUUUUUCGUGGGGGAUAACGUAGGGAAACUUACGCUAAUACCGCAUACGACCUACGGGUGAAAGCAGGGGAUCUUCGGACCUUGCGCGAUUGAAUGAGCCGAUGUCGGAUUAGCUAGUUGGCGGGGUAAAGGCCCACCAAGGCGACGAUCCGUAGCUGGUCUGAGAGGAUGAAUAACCACACUGGAACUGAGACACGGUCCAGACUCCUACGGGAGGCAGCAGUGGGGAAUAUUGGACAAUGGGCGCAAGCCUGAUCCAGCCAUACCGCGUGGGUGAAGAAGGCCUUCGGGUUGUAAAGCCCUUUUGUUGGGAAAGAAAAGCAGCAGGUUAAUACCCCGCUGUUCUGACGGUACCCAAAGAAUAAGCACCGGCUAACUUCGUG
rnacentral:rRNA from 1 species